UGGUGCAAAUCCUUAUCAGGCAGUUCAGCAAAGAAAUGGUUAGCCUUCACAAUGCAACGCUUUCCACUCUGUCCUUUACCAGGCCUCAUUGGAAACUUGAAAGCCUUGCUAGAAGAAGGUAUAGGCUGGAUUGCCUGACUGGGAGCUCCUUGUUCAACAGAGAGUUGUUCAAAUUGCUGAGCCAGAACAGUAGGUUCUGGUACCUGGGUAGGACUCACCUCAGACAGUGUAGGCUGAGAAGACACCGCUUGAUAAGUAGGUGAGGUAGCUUGAUGCAGCUCGGGAACUGAUUGUCUCUGCGGUGGUCCAGAAGAAGGUCCACCUCCACGGCCACCGCCAUACCCUCCUCGACCUCCUU
rnacentral:sRNA from 1 species